ACAAGCGGUGGAGCAUGUGGUUUAAUUCGAUGCAACGCGAAGAACCUUACCAGGCCUUGACAUCCUCGGAACUUUCCAGAAAUGGAUUGGUGCCUUCGGGAACCGAGAGACAGGUGCUGCAUGGCUGUCGUCAGCUCGUGUCGUGAGAUGUUGGGUUAAGUCCCGCAACGAGCGCAACCCUUGUCAUUAGUUGCUACAUUUAGUUGGGCACUCUAAUGAGACUGCCGGUGACAAACCGGAGGAAGGUGGGGAUGACGUCAAGUCCUCAUGGCCCUUAUGGGUAGGGCUUCACACGUAAUACAAUGGCGCGUACAGAGGGUUGCCAAGCCGCGAGGUGGAGCCAAUCCCAGAAAGCGCGUCGUAGUCCGGAUUGCAGUCUGCAACUCGACUGCAUGAAGUCGGAAUCGCUAGUAAUCGCGGAUCAGCAUGUCGCGGUGAAUACAUUCCCGGGCCUU
rnacentral:rRNA from 1 species